AUGUACUUAUCCCGUAAUUUUCUGACACUAACACCACUACGUACAAGCAAAGAUCAGGGCAAGAUGAUUUAUUCUCCUAUUUAACUCCAGUUCCAAGAUGUCUCUCUAUUACUCUCAUGGUUCUCAAUUUUUGGAGUGGAUGAAGAUGAACACACACAACCCAUAAGUAAAACAGCUGACUUACACUGAGUUUCCUAAACACUUUGUUUGGAACAGAAUUACUAAAAAGUGGACCAGGCGUAAAAGAAAUUCAGGUGUUACUCAGAUGCAAUUUAGGUCAACAGCUAUUGGUGAUCAGUUUUACAUGAGAAUCCUUUUAACACAUAGAAGAGGUGAAACCAGUUUUGAAGAUUUACGUACUGUUGAUGGUAUUUUAUAUCCUACGUUUAGAGAUGCAUGUUUUGCUCUAGGUGUCCUUCAAUAAGAAGAAUAAUAGCAGUCAAUGCAAUCCAAUUUUCUA